rnacentral:rRNA from 1 species
CGUCUAUAUACGUAUAGCAUAUCAAUAAGCGGAGGAAAAGAAACUAACAUAGGAUUCCCUCAGUAACGGCGAGUGAAGCGGGAAGAGCUCAAAUUUGAAAUCUUCAAGGUUUUACCUUGACGAAUUGUAGUUUAAAGAAGUGUUUUCUGUUGGAAUUUUGGUAAAAGUUCUUUGGAAAAAGACAUCAAAGAGGGUGAGAAUCCCGUAUUUGACCAUUAUUUCCAGCUUUGUGAUACACUUUCAAAGAGUCGGAUUGUUUGGGAAUGCAGUCCAAAAUGGGUGGUAAAUUUCAUCUAAAGCUAAAUACUGGCGAGAGACCGAUAGCGAACAAGUACCGUGAGGGAAAGAUGAAAAGAACUUUGAAAAGAGAGUUAAACAGUACGUGAAAUUGUCAAAAGGGAAGCGUUUGACACCAGUGUUGUUUUCUCGAAAAUCAAUUAAAAAUGGCAGGAUUUUGUGUUGUAUUGACUUUAUCAGCUUUCUGCACUUUUUUCCUGUCUUUUUUAAUGCACUUUUCGUUUAACAAGUCAACAUCAAUUUCUUUUGUUGUAAAAGAGUCAUUGGAAGGUGGCUUUCUUUUCGGAGAAAGUGUUUAUAGCCUUUGCCUCUGCAAUCGGAGAGAUUGAGGUCUGCAGCGUAGAUCCUUCGGGGUUAAAUAGCAUUUGUGCUAAGUUAUAGCCUUUCAUAGACAACUUGUUGACUAUGAUCUGUCAUGUAGCUUACUCGCUUAUGUUAUUUUACCUACGCUUAGGAUGUUGACGAUCAGCUGAGCGCG